rnacentral:rRNA from 1 species
UUAUCCGGAUUUAUUGGGUUUAAAGGGUGCGUAGGCGGUUUGAUAAGUUAGAGGUGAAAUUUCGGGGCUCAACCCUGAACGUGCCUCUAAUACUGUUGAGCUAGAGAGUAGUUGCGGUAGGCGGAAUGUAUGGUGUAGCGGUGAAAUGCUUAGAGAUCAUACAGAACACCGAUUGCGAAGGCAGCUUACCAAACUAUAUCUGACGUUGAGGCACGAAAGCGUGGGGAGCAAACAGGAUUAGAUACCCUGGUAGUCCACGCAGUAAACGAUGAUAACUCGUUGUCGGCGAUACACAGUCGGUGACUAAGCGAAAGCGAUAAGUUAUCCACCUGGGGAGUACGUUCGCAAGAAUGAAACUCAAAGGAAUUGACGGGGGCCCGCACAAGCGGAGGAACAUGUGGUUUAA